rnacentral:rRNA from 1 species
GUAGGGUGCAGGCGUUAAUCGGAAUUACUGGGCGUAAAGCGUGCGCAGGCGGUCUUUUAAGUCAGAUGUGAAAUCCCCGGGCUUAACCUGGGAACUGCGUUUGAAACUGGAAGGCUUGAGUGUGGCAGAGGGUAGUGGAAUUCCCGGUGUAGCAGUGAAAUGCGUAGAGAUCGGGAGGAACAUCUGUGGCGAAGGCGACUGCCUGGACCAGCACUGACACUGAGGCACGAAAGCGUGGGGAGCAAACAGGAUUAGAUACCCUGGUAGUCCACGCCCUAAACGAUGCGAACUGGAUGUUGGGUGCAACUAGGCACUCAGUAUCGAAGCUAACGCGUUAAGUUCGCCGCCUGGGGAGUACGGUCGCAAGACUG